CUCUCCAUCUCUUUCUCUCUCCUUUCCUGUUUCUCCCCCCCCUCCUCCCCAGAGAAAUGGUGAUUAAGCUGGCGGCCAAAACAAGACCUGCUACCCAGGCACUCCUUCUGUUUAGUCCCCUCUUGACCACUUCCCUGCCCAGAGACACAGCCUCAGCUGUGUUUAAAGGCACAUACCACCACCACCACCAAGCCCUGGUUUUUCUACAUGCGUGAGCUACAAGCAUUCAAAAUGAACAUGGAAAAACAUCAUCCACAAUGGCUGUGACUACUAAGUGACUUCUGGAGGGACCUAGGGACCCAGUUUCUGACACUGUAUUUUUACUGACAAAUAUCGCACAAGCUAGUACUUCUUACCCAUAGAUAUCCUGCUGCAUUGAUUCAGGCUUUGCCGUUUAUCUGAGCACUCAGAGAAAAAAAAAAUUGCUGAGUUGCAUACCACAAAUGCGCUGCACCUUAGUCAACAGGAAGACAUCUGUCUGGGAGACAGAAGGGGCCUCUUGCUGAGAGCACGGAGCCUGGGGGUUGGAACUGUGCUUGCUAUAGAAGCACUCUUGGCUUAUUUCAUUCUACUUUGUGAAGGAAGGAUAAUACUUUUUAUUCCGUAAGAGAGUGGUCUUGUUAGGAAUGAUGUAUGUAACACUGAGUAAUAAAUGAUGACCAUUAUGAUUUCCUUGA